rnacentral:rRNA from 1 species
UACGGGGGGAGCAAGCGUUGUUCGGAUUUACUGGGCGUAAAGGGCGCGUAGGCGGGCGCAACAAGUCACUUGUGAAAUCUCCGGGCUUAACCCGGAGCGGCCAAGUGAUACUGUCGUGCUAGAGUGCGGAAGGGGCUACUGGAAUUCUCGGUGUAGCGGUGAAAUGCGUAGAUAUCGAGAGGAACACCUGCGGCGAAGGCAGCCCCCUGGGAUAACGACUGACGCCUCAUGCACGAAAGCGUGGGGAGCAAACAGG